rnacentral:lncRNA from 1 species
AAGAUGAUGUCCGAGCAUUGAACAAUUCUGGACUGUGAUUGGCAGGUGGCGGUGGCAGUGACGCAACACCGGUCCAGCUUGCAGAGGGAGUUGGACCUGAACCGAGGAGAUCGGAUCCAGAUUCUGUUCAAGGAGGACGACGGCCGGUGGUUCGGGCGGCUCACAAAUGGAAACGAGGGUUACUUCUCUACUGCCUGCGUGGAGCCGCUCCAGGGCGGAGAGAGAGCCGUGCUGGGGAGGAGGGGCUCCGUGCCAGCAGCCGUGGCGACAGCAAGCGCCCCCUGUGGCUGCACGAGUGGUCACAGUACACCGAAGCUGCUGAGGAAAAACAGCAUCCGCCUGAAGUCUGACGGGCCGUCAGCGGCAGCGGGGGGGUCAGCAGAUCCUCCUCAGGGCUCCCCCAGCCUCCUCCACCGUGUCCUGGCCAAGUCCAGGAGGAUGAGCUGCCCCCACCUUGUCCACCGCCCUCCGGACGCCGGCUCCAUCAACACCGCCUUCCAGCCGGACUGAAAGACCAUUUGCAACGAGUUGCUUAGAAACGAGGACACAUUUAGUCUCGUAGAGAUGUUUAAGUAUUUUAAUUAGAUUUUGACAAAUGCAGAAAGAAAUCAUACCGGAGACAAAACCUUGUCACAGUAGAGACAUGAACCCUCCAAGUCAAG